AGAGUUUGAUCCUGGCUCAGGAUGAACGCUGGCGGCGUGCCUAAUACAUGCAAGUCGAGCGAACGGACGAGAAGCUUGCUUCUCUGAUGUUAGCGGCGGACGGGUGAGUAACACGUGGAUAACCUACCUAUAAGACUGGGAUAACUUCGGGAAACCGGAGCUAAUACCAGAUAAUAUUUUGAACCGCAUGGUUCAAAAGUGAAAGACGGUCUUGCUGUCACUUAUAGAUGGAUCCGCGCUGCAUUAGCUAGUUGGUAAGGUAACGGCUUACCAAGGCAACGAUGCAUAGCCGACCUGAGAGGGUGAUCGGCCACACUGGAACUGAGACACGGUCCAGACUCCUACGGGAGGCAGCAGUAGGGAAUCUUCCGCAAUGGGCGAAAGCCUGACGGAGCAACGCCGCGUGAGUGAUGAAAGUCUUCGGAUCGUAAAACUCUGUUAUUAGGGAAGAACAUAUGUGUAAGUAACUGUGCACAUCUUGACGGUACCUAAUCAGAAAGCCACGGCUAACUACGUGCCAGCAGCCGCGGUAAUACGUAGGUGGCAAGCGUUAUCCGGAAUUAUUGGGCGUAAAGCGCGCGUAGGCGGUUUUUUAAGUCUGAUGUGAAAGCCCACGGCUCAACCGAGGAGGGUCAUUGGAAACUGGAAAACUUGAGUGCAGAAGAGGAAAGUGGAAUUCCAUGUGUAGCGGUGAAAUGCGCAGAGAUAUGGAGGAACACCAGUGGCGAAGGCGACUUUCUGGUCUGUAACUGACGCUGAUGUGCGAAAGCGUGGGGAUCAAACAGGAUUAGAUACCCUGGUAGUCC
rnacentral:rRNA from 1 species